AUGAGUUCCUUGCUUGCAGGGGCCAGGUGGGGUUUCCUGAGCGGGAGGGGUUCACAAGGCCCACGACACACAUCCGCAUCCAGAGUGGUGCCUAUUCCUGGCGAGGAUGUGCCACGAUGGAAGGGCCCAGCGGAAUCAACUUCCUGCCGCACAGCUGCCUGGCUCCCCCGAGGCCUGGGAUCCCAGUUGGGAUUUGAGUGGACCUCCGAUGACGUCACACGAUGCACGGCCUCUGGGCACAGUCCACGAUGUCUGUCCACGCUCCUUCUUCUGCCUCCUUCCGCCUAUGCUCCUUCCAAGUCCCUCAUGUCUGGCCAGAUGGACGAGCCCUGCCCAGGACUCUGUGUAGACUCCGGCCUUGGACGUCCAAGCCUCUGCUCCAUGUUCUUCCCCCCAGGGGCAGGUGGGAUUGUCCUGCAAUGGCUGUCACGGCUCGUGGUCCGCUGGGGCUAGGGCUGGCACGUCUGUAAAUCCACUCUGCUUCUUCCUUAGCAGAUCGCGGGGCUUCACAGAGGCCACGGGCUUGUGCAGGAGUGGACUCCAGUGGCCUCCUGUGCCUGGGGCCUCUGCUCCAUGCUGGGCAACUGCUGGGUGCACCUGCUUGUGGUCAGGUGGGCUAGGCAGCACCCGGUGUGACAAACAGUUGGGAUUCAGGGUCAUCCCCUUGUCUCACAGUAGCAAAUAAAUAUAAGAUGUCCCAUAAGUCAAAAUUUUAGACGAGGGGAUGCCUGGCAGGCUCAGUGGGUACAGCGUGACUCUUGCUCUUGGGUGGUGAGCUCAAGCCCCAUGCCGGGGGUAGAGUUUACUUUAAAAAGAUGUAGAUGGGGGAUCCCUGGGUGGCGCAGCAGUUUGGCGCCUGCCUUUGGCCCAGGGCACGAUCCUGGAGACCCGGGAUCGAAUCCCGUGUCGGGCUCCCGGUGCAUGGAGCCUGUUUCUCCCUCUGCCUGUGUCUCUGCCUCUCUCUCUCUCUCUCUUUCUCUCUGUGUGACUAUCAUAAAUAAAUAAAAAAUUAAAAAAAAUAAAAAGAUGUAGAUGAACAAUGAGUAAUGUGUAGUAUAAGUAUAUCCCUAAUACUGCACGGACCAUACUUACACUAAAAGUCCUUUGUUGUUUAUUGGAAAGUCAAAUUAGCCUGGGCGGGGGGUCCUGUAUCUUACGCAUGCUCAGUCCCGGCCGAGCACCAAGUCCGACACCCAGGAUUCAUGGGCGGUCCCCCCGGGGUGCAGGCGGCGUCCAGUGCAGGCCCCGCGCUCCCGCCGGGUCACCCAGGCAGGGGCCACCCACCUGAGGCCGUGCUCGCCCACACAGGUUUGUGGUCUGAUGGGCUCAGAGGUCACAUAUCGGCCCCCAAAGCUGAGCACCUCGCCUGAUUGGGCCACUGAGGUCAUGCAACCGUCAAGGCCGCCUG
rnacentral:lncRNA from 1 species